GCAAACUUGGUCAUUUAGAGGAAGUAAAAGUCGUAACAAGGUUUCCGUAGGUGAACCUGCGGAAGGAUCAUUAUCAACCUCGGCGAGACCUUUUUAAGGUCCUCGCGUCGUAUACUUAAAACCCAACUCUAUGAAUCAAACGAAUUAAUUUUCCAUAAAGUAAAUUUAAAAGAUCACUUUCAACAACGGAUCUCUUGGCUCUCUCAGAUGUGUAUAAGAGACAGGCAAACUUGGUCAUUUAGAGGAAGUAAAAGUCGUAACAAGGUUUCCGUAGGUGAACCUGCGGAAGGAUCAUUAUCAACCUCGGCGAGACCUUUUUAAGGUCCUCGCGUCGUAUACUUAAAACCCAACUCUAUGAAUCAAACGAAUUAAUUUUCCAUAAAGUAAAUUUAAAAGAUCACUUUCAACAACGGAUCUCUUGGCUCUCGCAUCGAUGAAGAACGCAGC
rnacentral:misc_RNA from 1 species